AAAUGGAUAGUCAUGCUUGCAUGAAGUACAAGUCAUACAUAGAAAAUUUGCAUUAUCAAAAGAGAAUUGAAAUACUUGCUCUUUAAAUAAAAGAGAAGAAUAAGAAUACUUGCCUCUGACUGAAAACAUGUGACAAUGCAACUCGGUCACACUACUCGAGGUUUCUAGACUUGCCUCAACUGCUAACUCUACAAUGACUACAUUCUAAUUGGACUGUCUUGCGGCACAAUCUGGCCUUAUUGAAUUAUUUCAGACUUGGCUUGCAACACUAUUCGCUGGCUUCUGAAAGUCAUUGUUGACCACGUCUCAGCCGGCUAUAUAUAACAGCAAACAAUACUUUAGUUGAAGAACAAUCCCAACCGCCGCCAAAUCGCUGAAUCGAAAUUAUAUUACUACCCUUCGCGAUAUAAACAUUUAAUAUAUACAAUUAAUAUAUAAAUAAUAUAUACACAUAGUGUCACAUAGUUAAACACGUAAUCACAUCAGCACGUACCAAUUAAUUUACAUGCUUUAAUAUUUAAAUAUAAAUAGUCAAAUAAAUCAUGUAUAUGAUCUUAUAUCUGAUUAUAUACACAAUAUUAAUAUCCCCUGGAUAUAAUACAACUCCAAUUUAUCACAACAGAAAUCAAGUCAUCUGAAUUACAAGUCCCAUUGUAAUUCAAUCACAUCUCAAAACAGCUCAACACUUGAUUAAAAUAAAAUAAAAUAAUAAGAUAAUAUAAAUUUUGGACAACAUGUCUUUUAAAAUGGAGCAACCUCAAAAUCAACAACAAAGAAAUCUUUGCUCCAAAAUAAUAUAAAUAUCCUCCAAAAUGUCAAAUCAUAAAUGGGCAUGCUCUUCACAAUCAACAAUAAAGUCUCAGUUCAGCACUCUAUCUUCUAGUAUUUUCAAAAUUCCAUAAUUUAACAUCUUCACAUGAAACCUUUUCCAUUUUAACCUCUGACAUAGUAUCUUGCUAUCCUCAAAAUUUCAACUUAAACCGAUUAGUACAGCUAGGUCAAAUUCUCGCUCAAAGAUGGUACUCAAAUUUAUCUCAGCAAGGCAAAACAGGAUUUUUAUCAUCAUCACAGCCACGCUCUAAAAUUCACUGUAAAUCGUAGGUUUACUAUUUUGGCAUGAAACCACCUCUGGGAUCUUCUAUACUCAGUACACUAUCAUCCCUCAAAAUUUCAACUCCAACUAAAGUGUUUAGCUAGGUGAAACAUUGCUUCAAAGUUCAGUGUUCAGUAAAUUCGUAGGUUAUUGACAACCCAUACUAAAACUGCCAUAACUUCUAGCUCGUUACUCCGAUUGACGCAAAAUCAGCGCCCAAAUAAACUAGAAAUCAUACACUACAACUUCCAUUGAGCAGUCGAUCACCCAAUCACAAUAAAACUGCUCCGAAACACUGCCCAAAAACAGGACAGCAAACUGAAUUUAAAAGUUUAUACCUUCUAUCGUUGAUAUUGCAACCUCACACGACUAUCCCCCACCUUUACUACAACUACCAGACCUGUAAUUUGGCUUCUCUUCUCCCACUUUUGUUGUUACCCACACACAACAGCCAUAUAACCUCCAUCUCGGACCAUUGCUCAGCAGCCAGCGGCUCCUCCUCCGCCAUCUAACAUCAACAAUCACUACUGCAUAUGACUUCCACACACACAACUUUGUUUCCCUCCUGUGCUACUGUUCUCACAACCUUCAACAUCCUUCUCUACUACUCCAUCUACCAAACGCAGCCACACCACAUACUUGCUCCACUACUACCUGUCUCAAUGUCUAACAGCUAUUUCUAUGAAUAACAACCUUGCUUUCUUCCUCCGAUUCAAACCCAACCACAUAUCAAUUCUCUCGCGAGCCGUCGUCCUCUCCAACUCCAAUGAGACCUCACCACCGCCCUGUUCAAACCAGCCUCCUUCAACUACAACUCCAUACCCAGCUAUAACAUAUGCACCCACAUACAAAACUCGACAACCA
rnacentral:lncRNA from 1 species